UACAGAGGGGGCAAGCAUUGUUCGGAAUUACUGGGCGUAAAGGGCACGUAGGCGGCCGCCUAAGUCAGACGUGAAAUCCCUCGGCUCAACCGGGGAACUGCGUCUGAUACUGGUUGGCUUGAAUCCGGGAGAGGGAUGCGGAAUUCCAGGUGUAGCGGUGAAAUGCGUAGAUAUCUGGAGGAACACCGGUGGCGAAGGCGGCAUCCUGGACCGGCAUUGACGCUGAGGCGCGAAAGCCAGGGGAGCAAACGGG
rnacentral:rRNA from 1 species